UCUAGUAAAACAGCUGGAAGCUGGGUUGAAAUGCAGCUGGAAUUGGUCGUGGCUUAAACUGGAGGGCAAAGUCUCAGUAAAAGGGCAAGAGGUGUCCUUUCAUCUAGGGGAUGUAUUCAACAAGAUCAACAGGCAGGGAUUCGCUAGAUGUGUUCUCUGCCACAAAGAUAUCAAUUAUGCAAACAAAGGCAGCCAUGUUCUGCAGGCUCACUGCCAGACAGAGAUUCACAAGAAGAAGGUAGAGAUGAUUGCUUCCACACACAGUGUUGCCAGCACCUUGCUUCCUGCAUCAUCUAGUCGGAAUCCAGUAAGCCAAAGUCAAGCAAGCCAGGGCCCAGAAACAAUCAGGCAGCAGUGCCAGGGAAAAAUACCUGUACAACAUAGCAAAUGCAGAGGCAAUGGUCCUUGGAACCUUGGCAGAGCAUUCCAUCUCAUUUUCCAUGGCUCCUGUAAUUGUUGAGCUUGCCCAGACCCUUUCCUUGGAUAAACCAGCUUUGCAGGGAAUGAACCUGUCGCGGACGGCAGCUUCAUACAAGAUGAUACAUGGCUUAGGGCGGACCUACUCUGAGAGGAUCUUUUCCAACAUGAGGAGAUUUUCCUUUUCAUUAAAUUUAGAUGAGAGCACAUCCAACAACAACAAAAAG